AGCUGAGGCGUGAUGACGAGGAACCACGGUUCCGAAGUGAUUGAUACCAAGCUUCCAGGAAAAGCCACUAAGCUUCAGUCUAGAGUUGACCGUACCGCAAACCGACACAGGUGGGCAGGAUGAAAAUUCUAAGGCGCUUGAGAGAACUCAGGAGAAGGAACUCGGCAAAUUAACACCGUAACUUCGGGAGAAGGUGUGCCCCGGUAGCGUGUAGAGACUUGCUCUCGAAGCGCGAUGGGGUUGCAGUGAAAUGGUGGCUGCGACUGUUUAAUAAAAACACAGCACUCUGCAAACACGAAAGUGGACGUAUAGGGUGUGACGCCUGCCCGGUGCCGGAAGGUUAAGUGAUGGGGUGCAAGCUCUUGAUCGAAGCCCCGGUAAACGGCGGCCGUACUAUAACGGUCCUAAGGGCGAAAUUCCUUGUCGGGUAAGUUCCGACCUGCACGAAUGGCGUAACGAUGGCCACACUGUCUCCUCCUGGGACUCAGCGAAGUUGAAAUGUUUGUGAAGAUGCAAUCUACCCGCGGCUAGUCGGAAAGACCCCAUGAACCUUUACUGUAGCUUUGCAUUGGACUUUGAACCGGUUUGUGUAGGAUAGGUGGGAGACUGUGAAGCCGGGACGCUAGUUUCGGUGGAGUCAACCUUGAAAUACCACCCUGAUUUGUUUGAGGUUCUAACCUUGGUCCGUGAAUCCGGAUCGGGGACCGUGCAUGGUAGGCAGUUUGACUGGGGCGGUCUCCUCCCAAAAGGUAACGGAGGAGUACGAAGGUACGCUUAGGGCGGUCGGACAUCGCCCACAAAGUGCAAUGGCAAAAGCGUGCUUGGCUGCGAGACCCACAAGUCGAGCAGGUACGAAAGUAGGUCAUAGUGAUCCGGUGGUUCUGUAUGGAAGGGCCAUCGCUCAACGGAUAAAAGGUACUCUGGGGAUAACAGGCUAAUUCCUCCCAAGAGUUCAUAUCGACGGGGGAGUUUGGCACCUCGAUGUCGGCUCAUCACAUCCUGGGGCUGUAGUCGGUCCCAAGGGUAUGGCUGUUCGCCAUUUAAAGUGGUACGCGAGCUGGGUUUAAAACGUCGUGAGACAGUUUGGUCCCUAUCUGCCGUGGGCGCUGGAAAUUUGAAGGGGGCUGCUCCUAGUACGAGAGGACCGGAGUGGACGAACCUCUGGUGUACCGGUUAUGACGCCAGUCGUAUUGCCGGGUAGCUAAGUUCGGAAGAGAUAAACGCUGAAAGCAUCUAAGCGUGAAACUCGCCUUAAGAUAAGAUUUCCCGGAGUCUUGAACUCCCUGAAGGGUCGUCGAAGACCACGACGUUGAUAGGUCAGGUGUGGAAGCGCAGCAAUGCGUUAAGCUAACUGAUACUAAUUGCCCGUGCGGCUUGAACCU
rnacentral:rRNA from 1 species